rnacentral:rRNA from 2 species
UCCUGGCUCAGGACGAACGCUGGCGGCGUGCCUAAUACAUGCAAGUCGAACGAACUCUGGUAUUGAUUGGUGCUUGCAUCAUGAUUUACAUUUGAGUGAGUGGCGAACUGGUGAGUAACACGUGGGAAACCUGCCCAGAAGCGGGGGAUAACACCUGGAAACAGAUGCUAAUACCGCAUAACAACUUGGACCGCAUGGUCCGAGUUUGAAAGAUGGCUUCGGCUAUCACUUUUGGAUGGUCCCGCGGCGUAUUAGCUAGAUGGUGAGGUAACGGCUCACCAUGGCAAUGAUACGUAGCCGACCUGAGAGGGUAAUCGGCCACAUUGGGACUGAGACACGGCCCAAACUCCUACGGGAGGCAGCAGUAGGGAAUCUUCCACAAUGGACGAAAGUCUGAUGGAGCAACGCCGCGUGAGUGAAGAAGGGUUUCGGCUCGUAAAACUCUGUUGUUAAAGAAGAACAUAUCUGAGAGUAACUGUUCAGGUAUUGACGGUAUUUAACCAGAAAG